GUGAGUGUAGCUCAGUCGGUAGAGCACCAGGUUGUGGCCCUGGUGGUCGUGGGUUCAAGUCCCAUCACUCACCCGA
rnacentral:tRNA from 1 species